UACGUAGGGGGCAAGCGUUGUCCGGAUUUAUUGGGCGUAAAGAGCGUGUAGGCGGCCAGACAGGUCCGUUGUGAAAACUCGAGGCUCAACCUCGAGAUGUCGAUGGAAACCGUCUGGCUAGAGUCCGGAAGAGGAGUGUGGAAUUCCUGGGUGUAGCGGUGAAAUGCGCAGAUAUCAGGAAGAACACCUAUGGCGAAGGCAGCACUCUGGGACGGUACUGACGCUGAGACGCGAAAGCGUGGGGAGCGAACAGG
rnacentral:rRNA from 1 species